rnacentral:rRNA from 1 species
CAGUCGCCACGGUAAUACGAAGGGUGCAAGCGUUAAUCGGAAUUACUGGGCGUAAAGCGUGCGUAGGCGGUUUGUUAAGUCUGCUGUGAAAUCCCCGGGCUCAACCUGGGAAUGGCAGUGGAUACUGGCAAGCUAGAGUGUGUCAGAGGAUGGUGGAAUUCCCGGUGUAGCGGUGAAAUGCGUAGAGAUCUGGAGGAACAUCAGUGGCGAAGGCGGCCAUCUGGGACAACACUGACGCUGAGGCACGAAAGCGUGGGGAGCAAACAGGAUUAGAUACCCCGGUAGUCCCUGUCUCUUAUAC